CAAAGGUUUGGUCCUAACCUUCCUAUUAAUUUUAACUACAAUUACACAUGCAAGUAUCUGCCCCCCGGUGAGAAUGCCCUAUACUACCUACAAGUAGGACAGGAGCGGAUAUCAGGCGCCUAAAAGUGCCAAAAACAUCUUGUUUUACCACACCCACAAGGGAACUCAGCAGUGAUAAACAUUGAACAAUAAGCGACCAAAGCUUGAAUCAGAGAUAGUUUAGAGGGUUGGUAAAUCUCGUGCCAGCCACCGCGGUUAUACGAGAAACCCAAAUUAAUUUAGUCGGCUCAAAGGGUGGUUAGACAAAUAAAAUAAAAUAAGGCUAAAAUACAGCCCAGCUGUCAAACGCAAAAGCAAAAGAAAACCCAACAUCGAAAGAAGCCCUAUUAAAUAACUUGAACCCACGAUAACCGGGAAACAAACUGGGAUUAGAUACCCCACUAUGCCCGAUCAUAAACUUUGAUUUUUCCGCCAGAACACUACGAGCAACAGCUUAAAACUCAAAGGACUUGGCGGUGCUCUACACCCCCCUAGAGGAGCCUGUUCUAUAAUCGACAACCCCCGAUAAACCUCACCAUCUAUUGCUAGUACAGCCUAUAUACCACCGUCCAGCCCACCCUUUAAAGGAAAAAUAGUAGGCACAACUAUAUACAUAAAAACGUCAGGUCAAGGUGUAGCAUAUAAGAUGGGAAGAAAUGGGCUACAUUUUCUAACCUAGAAAACACGGAAAAGUUUAUGAAACAAAACUAUAAAGGAGGAUUUAGUAGUAAAAAGAAAAAAGAGUGUUCUUUUUAAACCGGCAAUGGAGCGCGCACACACCGCCCGUCACCCUCUUCAGAUGGUGAGGAAAAAAUAAAUAAACAAAACUACCAAAAAAGAAGAGGUAAGUCGUAACAUGGUAAGCUUACCGGAAGGUGAGCUUGGGA
rnacentral:ncRNA from 1 species